rnacentral:rRNA from 1 species
GACGAACGCUGGCGGCGUGCUUAACACAUGCAAGUCGAACGGAAAGGCCCUGCUUUUGUGGGGUGCUCGAGUGGCGAACGGGUGAGUAACACGUGAGUAACCUGCCCUUGACUUUGGGAUACUUCAGGAAACUGGGGCUAAUACCGGAUAGGAGCUCCUGCUGCAUGGUGGGGGUUGGAAAGUUUCGGCGGUUGGGGAUGGACUCGCGGGUUAUCAGCUUGUUGGGGGGGGAGUGGCUUACCAAGGCUUUGACGGGUAGCCGGCCUGAGAGGGUGACCGGCCACAUUGGGACUGCGAUACGGCCCAGACUCCUACGGGAGGCAGCAGUGGGGAAUAUUGCACAAUGGGCGGAAGCCUGAUGCAGCAACGCCGCGUGCGGGAUGACGGCCUUCGGGUUGUAAACCGCUUUCGCCUGUGACGAAGCGUGAGUGACGGUAAUGGGUAAAGAAGCACCGGCUAACUACGUG